rnacentral:rRNA from 1 species
GAUGAACGCUGGCGGCGUGCCUAAUACAUGCAAGUCGAGCGAACAGACGAGGAGCUUGCUCCUCUGACGUUAGCGGCGGACGGGUGAGUAACACGUGGAUAACCUACCUAUAAGACUGGGAUAACUUCGGGAAACCGGAGCUAAUACCGCAUAAAAUAUUUAACCGCAUGGUUCAAUAGUGAAAGACGGUAUUGCUGUAACUUAUAGAUGGAUCCGCUCGGCAUUAGCUAGUUGGUAAGGUAACGGCUUACCAAGGCAACAAUGCGUAGCCGACCUGAGAGGGUGAUCGGCCACACGGGAACUGGGACACGGUCCAGACUCCUACGGGAGGCAGCAGUAGGGAAUCUUCCGCAAUGGGCGAAGGCCUGACGGAGCAACGCGGCGUGAGUGAUGAAGGUCUUCGGAUCGUAAAACUCUGUUAUUAGGGAAGAACAAAUGUGUAAGUAACUAUGCACGUCUUGACGGUACCUAAUCAGAAAGCCACGGCUAACUACGUG